UACAGAAGGUGCGAGCGUUAAUCGGAAUUACUGGGCGUAAAGCGUGCGUAGGUGGUUUGUUAAGUCUGUUGUGAAAGCCCCGGGCUCAACCUGGGAAUGGCAAUGGAUACUGGCAGGCUAGAGUGCGGUAGAGGGUAGUGGAAUUCCCGGUGUAGCGGUGAAAUGCGUAGAGAUCGGGAGGAACACCAGUGGCGAAGGCGGCUACCUGGACCAGCACUGACACUGAGGCACGAAAGCGUGGGGAGCAAACAGG
rnacentral:rRNA from 1 species